GGCUUCGCAGGAAGGCGACCGGCGCAUGCGCUAUUGCUGGGGAGCGGCGCGCUCGCAACCGCGCGCGGUGACGCGCCUGGCGCGGGCCUUCCCCACUACUACCCUCGCCUGAGGACUCUUCGGCCCACUUUCAAGUGUGGUGGUCUCAGUGUGAGGUUUCCAGCUCACCUUCCCAGAAUCCCCAGAGAGCCGACUGAAAAGGCAGUGACUCUUCUUGCCUGUUCACUCGAUGCCAGCCCCUGUAUGCCAGCUGUUGUGCUGUACUACUGUACUUUUCAAGGGAGGAAGAAUUUGACUUGAAAAAACCACAAGGGCCCCUAAAAAUAACUGUGGAAGAAUUGGGGGGACCAUAUUAGAAUUUGAAUAAUCACAUGAAGGGGAGGCAAGAAGUAGGAGCUGGUAAAAAGAUACUGAAUUGAACUUGAGAGGCCUGACCAAUCUAAGCUGGACUGAAGAGACUAGACUGAAUGAGAUGAGUUUUGCCUCCUUCACAACUAAUUCUACAUCUUAAUUUUCCCUUUACCUAAAAUGUCAGUGAAGAAAACACAUGACAGCUUCUCAGCAUCACUCCUGUGCAACAUUUUUAACCAUUUCCUCAGCCUUGCAGCUGUUUGGAAAACUGUACCUUCGGUAUGUAUAAAUACACACUUGAACUUUAUAAUGAGCAUGGUCAUACUUCCUUUCUCGAUCAUAUAUACUAAUGUGAAAUUAUAACUAUAGUCUAAGUAGUUUAUGGUAUUUAAUUUUUAUACAAAGAGGAAGUGUAUAACUGCAUUUAAAAGAUGAAAUUUUAUAUAUCUGCAUAGUCCUCACAAAAUUAUUUUGGCAUUCAACAGUGAUGAUGUUGCAUAUGGUUAAAAUGCUCUAAAACCUCUACCAGUGUAUUGCUUAUUCAUGCUGUUAAACUACAAAUGUUAUGAUGAGAAAAGUAAACUCAAGUAAAUGCAUGCAAAACUAAAUAAUUCUGAAUCCCAGACGUCCAUGUCAUUGAAACAUUGCAAAAAGGAAAAUAAUUUCUGAAUAGCUAGUAGAAAUAACAUUAUAGCCUAGCUAAGUUCUGCAUUUAUAUUUUCACAACCAGUUUCUUCUAUCUUUAUGUAGUUUAAAAUUAUUAUCUUCCUUUAUGAAUGUGUUUAUAUAGCUUUUUCCAACACUGUUUAUUUAACAUUGCUUAAAUCCUGUGUACUAAAACAACUAAUUUUACUGUUCCUAGCUAUACAGAUGGUCCCCAACUUAUGAUGGUUCCACUUACAAUUUUUGACUUUAUGGUGGUGUGAAAGUGAUCCAAAUUCAAUAGAAAUGGUACUUCAGAUUUUGAAUUUUGAUU